AGUGAACGCUGGCGGUAGGCCUAACACAUGCAAGUCGAACGGCAGCACAGUAAGAGCUUGCUCUUACGGGUGGCGAGUGGCGGACGGGUGAGGAAUACAUCGGAAUCUACUUUUUCGUGGGGGAUAACGUAGGGAAACUUACGCUAAUACCGCAUACGACCUACGGGUGAAAGCAGGGGAUCUUCGGACCUUGCGCGAUUGAAUGAGCCGAUGUCGGAUUAGCUAGUUGGCGGGGUAAAGGCCCACCAAGGCGACGAUCCGUAGCUGGUCUGAGAGGAUGAUCAGCCACACUGGAGCUGAGACACGGUCCAGACUCCUACGGGAGGCAGCAGUGGGGAAUAUUAGACAAUGGGCGCAAGCCUGAUCCAGCCAUACCGCGUGGGUGAAGAAGGCCUUCGGGUUGUAAAGCCCUUUUGUUGGGAAAGAAAAGCAGCAGGUUAAUACCCCGCUGUUCUGACGGUACCCAAAGAAUAAGCACCGGCUAACUUCGUG
rnacentral:rRNA from 1 species